GAAAUGCGAUAAGUAAUGUGAAUUGCAGAAUUCAGUGAAUCAUCGAAUCUUUGAACGCACAUUGCGCCCGCCAGUAUUCUGGCGGGCAUGCCUGUCCGAGCGUCAUUUCAACCCUCGGGCCCCCCCCUUUUCCCCUCGCGGGGGAGGGGGCGGGCCCGGCGUUGGGGCCCAGGCGUCCUCCAAGGGCGCCUGUCCCCGAAACCCAGUGGCGGCCUCGCCGCUGCCUCCUCCGCGUAGUAGCACAAACCUCGCGGGCGGAAGGCGGCGCGGCCACGCCGUAAAACCCCAAACUUUUACCAAGGUUGACCUCGGAUCAGGUAGGAAUACCCGCUGAACUUAA
rnacentral:misc_RNA from 1 species